CUUAGUACGCAGCAGCAAAACGUGUAAUACAGUUAUACAGCCCAAAGGCUAAAUGUGCCACGGUUUUAAAAGCAUUCGUGUCCUUUUAUGCAUACGGCUCCAUAAUUUGUCGAUAGUACACGAACACCCUAUGGCUUUAUGUUCAUGCCGUUACUCCCGAACGCAUUGUAAUAACCUGUUUCACUGCUUAAUUGGCUUCAGGCAAAUUGAAGGGAAAUCUGUUAGUAUACUUGAUUCAGGUAUUACAAGGGUACGAGUCCCCUUACUGGUUAAAACUGGGUAUUGCAAUUUCUGUUGUAAAAGAUUUAUCUAUUGUAAUUUCUGAAUCUUACUAUUUCAGGGGACGUGUUACUUUAUAAAUCAUUACGGGCUGAGUCGUCACUUUUAUCCUUAGGUUCAUUUGAGGACUUGUACUCUGUUUUAGUUGCUUCUGCCUUUUUGCAGGUGUCAAAUUUUGUUACGUUUAGGUAGGUUACGUUUCUGUUUUAUUUAAAUUUUCAUGCCAUCACGAUUGGUCCUUUUCAAUGCUUCGUGUCAUUUUCACUCUAUUAGUAGGUGAUAAACUCUGGCCAACUCUUGUCAUUUGUGUCGGG